AUUUGUGACAUUGUUUUGUUCGCUUUGGCAACCCUCGUAUAUAUCAGAUGCUGUUCGGCCUCAAAUGCGACUGAAUAAACACUGAUAGUGUUGCCUGGAAUAUGAAAUGAUAUUGACUUAUUGUUCUGUAUAUCAAGGUAUGUAAUGUACAUUUAUACUGAAUUUAUUCGAUUUUUUUCACACGUUGCUUUCACAUUUUCUCAGAGUCUCGAAAAUCACAUUUUCUAAUAAACUCAGUUUCACACAUACAGCAAGACUUCAUUUCACACAUACAGAAAGACUUCUUCAGAAAUCACAGUUUUUAACAUAUAGAAAAACUUCAUAUUAUCUCAUCAGUUAAUCCGAAAUUAUGAUAACAGUACGUAGUAGGAAUGCUUAGAAAGAUUUUAUUCUGUUUUCCAUAUACAGUGUACAACUGUUAUUUCAAUUUUCUCUUUCCUAUAUUUUCUUUAAAGCAGGUACUGUUCUGUUACAAAACAACUAAUAAACAUUUUAUUAUUUUAACAGGUGAACCAUAUUUUACAUGAACUUGGGGAAAAAACAACUUGAAUUCCAUGGAAAUAUAUAUAAUCAUGUCAUCAAUCAGAUAGUAAACAAUCAUUAAGAUGGCCUCAAGAUUAUAUUUCACAGUGACCAACAUGAAAAUUUUAAAAUGGGAAUUAGUUGAUGGCAUUAUAGUUUUCUAAUGCUAUAUAAUUUUGUUCAUCAAGGUGAAGAAACCUUAACUCACUAUACCUUUUCCUGUUACAGAGCUAUGGUAGUAAUCUUAGAAGAUUUUCAUGAUCCCUCUAUUCAGUAGUUCUUUAACUAGUCUAGUAUUAUGACUGUAUUAUGUUAAAUAGCCUUGUGUGACUUUUGUAUUUUGUUUCUUUAAUAAUACAAUCAUUUACAAUGAUCAAAAUUACAGUUUAAUCUUUGUAUUUCUAAUGAUAAUUACUUUCACAUAUCCAUCACACUUCUCUGUUACUAUUAAACUUAUUACUAUAUCAUGCAAGUAAAAUCUCUUGGGAAAAAUAAAAUGUUGUCCCAGGAUAGUCAUAAAUAUCAGCUAGUAAAACUAAUGAAUAUACCUAUAAUCAUGUACAUAUGACUAUCAUAUAUUAUGUUGUAAUUCCUUUAAGUGUUUCCAAUUAAAUAAAUUUCUAUUUUCAGUUGUUCAUUGUUCAAACUAAUUUGAAACCUACAGUAUAUGUAGUUGCUAUGAUUCAGAUUAAUAUCCAAAAGUGUGCCUUUUACUUCAGUCCUUAUAGACUCCUCCAUAAUACAGACACUUUAUUGUGCCACUCCAAUGUUCAUUCAAAGUGAUCCAACUGACAUCUGAGCUGGUGAUAAUAUACAGCAAAGUAUUGGAAGUAGGAG
rnacentral:lncRNA from 1 species